GACGAACGCUGGCGGCGUGCUUAACACAUGCAAGUCGAACGGAAAGGCCCUGCUUUUGUGGGGUGCUCGAGUGGCGAACGGGUGAGUAACACGUGAGUAACCUGCCCUUGACUUUGGGAUGACUUCAGGAAACUGGGGCUAAUACCGGAUAGGAGCUCCUGCUGCAUGGUGGGGGUUGGAAAGUUUCGGCGGUUGGGGAUGGACUCGCGGCUUAUCAGCUUGUUGGUGGGGUAGUGGCUUACCAAGGCUUUGACGGGUAGCCGGCCUGAGAGGGUGACCGGCCACAUUGGGACUGAGAUACGGCCCAGACUCCUACGGGAGGCAGCAGUGGGGAAUAUUGCACAAUGGGCGGAAGCCUGAUGCAGCAACGCCGCGUGCGGGAUGACGGCCUUCGGGGUGUAAACCGAUUUCGCCUGUGACGAAGCGUGAGUGACGGUAAUGGGUAAAGAAGCACCGGCUAACUACGUG
rnacentral:rRNA from 1 species